rnacentral:tRNA from 2 species
GUUAAUGUAGCUUAAUCUCAAAGCAAGGCACUGAAAAUGCCUAGAUGGGCGCUCAGCCCCGUAAACA